GGGGAAAUAGCUCAGUUGGUAGAGUAUUUGCCUUGCAUGCCCAAGGCCCUGGGUUUGAUCCCCAGCACCACCA
rnacentral:tRNA from 1 species